rnacentral:rRNA from 1 species
GAUGAACGCUGGCGGCGUGCCUAAUACAUGCAAGUCGAGCGAACAGACGAGGAGCUUGCUCCUCUGACGUUAGCGGCGGACGGGUGAGUAACACGUGGAUAACCUACCUAUAAGACUGGGAUAACUUCGGGAAACCGGAGCUAAUACCGGAUAAUAUAUUGAACCGCAUGGUUCAAUAGUGAAAGACGGUUUUGCUGUCACUUAUAGAUGGAUCCGCGCCGCAUUAGCUAGUUGGUAAGGUAACGGCUUACCAAGGCAACGAUGCGUAGCCGACCUGUGAGGGUGAUCGGCCACACUGGAACUGAGCCACGGUCCAGACUCCUACGGGAGGCAGCAGUAGGGAAUCUUCCGCAAUGGGCGAAAGCUUGACGGAGCAACGCCGCGUGAGUGAUGAAGGUCUUCGGAUCGUAAAACUCUGUUAUUAGGGAAGAACAAAUGUGUAAGUAACUAUGCACGUCUUGACGGUACCUAAUCAGAAAGCCACGGCUAACUACGUG